UCUCACAAGAUGGAACAUUUUUCAUUCAUGGAACUUGAGUGGGAAUUUGGGAUGUGUUGGCAUUGAGCACCUGUGUCGCUGAUGGCCAAUAAGCGUCGUCAUCAUGGCCACUUUCCUCUCCAACUUCCUUCCUAAAUGUGCCUCAUCAUAGCUGCUCUUUGUUCUCGGGCAAGCGAUGGUCGUCUGCUGCUGUCGCAACCUGGAGGUCAGCACCUCUUUUCCAUUCCCUCGGUGGUUUCCUCCUCAGACGCUCACCCGCACACACUCAUGAUGUCCACUCUACUGUAAUGUGACCUUGGAGGUCCUGGGAAAGACAAGGCUUUGCUGAGUAACUCCGUGACAAAUCUGUCAUCAGCACCAUACUGUACCCUGUGCUCGUCAUCAUCAUCAUCAUCAUCAUCAUCAUCAUGGCUGCACAUGAGAGUGCAUGUGCAGAACUGUGACAGCAUCAAUCGCAUGUCGAUGGUCACACAUGGCUCAGUUUCCCAGGAUGCACCUGGCAGGGGGCGAGUGAGCGGAUGCAGGCUCCAGCUGUUUCCUGUGCACACUUCCUGGUUCGCUUUUAAGAGGCCUGAUGGUUGGGCUAUAUAGUGGAGCUGACAAGGGCACUUGGAUUACAGACUUUUCCACAUAGGAUAUGUCUGCCAUGGCCACAGGUGGAGGAUAGCAUCACUAACUUUCACAUAAACUGUGGAUUGAAAACAAAAGAUGCAGGCGCAGGGACAUUGACUGAACGAUUCAAGGAUAAACAGUCUAUCUCUCUUUAGACUUCCUUUAGGGGAUUUCAGGCUAAUGAGAACAUAAUGGACCCAAUCAAUUGUUUCCUCGAUUGAACACACCCUCUACUUUCCUCAUCAACACUUGGACACAAGCCAGGGACGCUGCGCUGAGAAGAACACAGAGAAAUGCACUCACUGGCCACUUUAUUAGGUACAUCUGAUUAUGGUACCUGCGGGGGUCAAAUGACCUCUCAACUUUGUUUAAUAUGGCUCCUUUUUUUUUUUAUGUGAAUGCCGGUAAAAGUGUAGAUUCAUAAAUAAGUGUCCCUUUUUUUUUGCAAACGAUGCCAUACAGAUAAAAAUUGAUUAUCUGGUGUAAGAUCCAUUGUUGGUGUGUUGUGAGAGUAUCCUCCGGUCACGGUGACACAGUCUUCCUUGUGUCAUAUUUCUCAUCAUCAGCACUUGCACGGCCCAAAUUCCACCGUUGCAUUCGAGUGUGGCUUGUUGUCGACCUCCAUCCUGUAAUAAUAGGAAACGCUGCAUCGCUUUCCAACUUUCUCUCACACGCUUCUCUCAUUGUCCUUCUGCUCCUUGCUAGCGUGAACUGAAAUGUUGUUAUAUGAAGUAUCCGUCCGGCCUUAAGGUUUGAUUUUAUUACCAUAUGUGAGACCUAACUCCAUUGUAACCACACAAAAGCGCUUGAAUGCCAAUUGCGUGACUACAUUUUCAGUAGGCAGAUUUCUGCAUCAUUUGUUAUUUGAAUAUAAAUACAAGCUUCA